GGGGGAAUAUUGGACAAUGGGCGCAAGCCUGAUCCAGCCAUGCCGCGUGAGUGAUGAAGGCCCUAGGGUUGUAAAGAUCUUUCACCGGUGAAGAUAAUGACGGUAACCGGAGAAGAAGCCCCGGCUAACUUCGUGCCAGCAGCCGCGGUAAUACGAAGGGGGCUAGCGUUGUUCGGAUUUACUGGGCGUAAAGCGCACGUAGGCGGACUAUUAAGUCAGGGGUGAAAUCCCGGGGCUCAACCCCGGAACUGCCUUUGAUACUGGUAGUCUUGAGUUCGAGAGGGGUGAGUGGAAUUCCGAGUGUAGAGGUGAAAUUCGUAGAUAUUCGGAGGAACACCAGUUGCGAAGGCGGCUCACUGGCUCGAUCCUGACGCUGAGGUGCGAAAGCGUGGGGAGCAAACAGG
rnacentral:rRNA from 1 species